UGACACGUGGGCUGCACCGCUGCAGGCAGUCAGGCACUCCCCAGUACAGAGCAUACGCCAAGAUUCCUUUUCUUCUCCUACUCCAGAUCCCCUUUCUCACUGUACAACCGCUGAUUCUAGUAUUUGCAGGUGAGCAUGCUUCAAUGCACAUCAAUAUGAUUCAAUAUUUCGUCGGCACCGUCUGUCUUCAGGACGCAAAAAUCAUCACCAACUUGAGUGAGGAGGUCGCUAGGAAGGAUGGAGGCAGCCAUGUAGCCGGCGGAGGUCCUGCAAGGGCGGCCGCCGUGCCUAGGGAGGCCAUCUCACCAGCGUGGACCAUCCCCAAUACCACCGGCACUGUGGCCUCAGUCGUCGUCAUCGUAGGCAAGGAUGGAACGGCAAACGCCAGUACGGCGUGGAUUGCCAACAGUCAUGUGUGACCGGAGCUGCUGGGGAUGGCAAGCAGCGCCACACGCAGCCUUGUCUGGGCAGCUACUUGCGCUACUGGGUGCCGGGGCAGGCCUUCGAAGGGCGGCAAGUCGGCAAAGCGAGGACUAAAGAGGAUGAUGGCAAAAUCAAGGAUGUAAAUAUUAGCAAGCGAUGAUGGCAAAAUCAUUGAUGUAAAUAUUCAGCUAGCAAGUAAAUUGUACAAUAUAUUGAAAGGUAAUGAUGGAGGGAUCGAGUAUCUCAAUGUUCAGAAGGUACCAGUUUCUCCACAACAAUGAACCCUAGUUCAGAGACAUUUUGUUCUUGAUCCAUGUUCUCCCAGAUCUGGGAUACACGCACAACAACAAUUCUUUGAGACCCUCGAGGUCAUCAUGAAGGGAUCAAGAAACUGAGCAUUCAGGAGGUACUAGUUGGUCAACAAAAAUGAACCCCAAUUCAUACACAUACUGUUCUUAGUCAUUGUUCUUCCAGAUCCGCGAAACACACACAAGAACAUUCCGUUGAGAUCAAGGAACAAUCCAAUCAAAAUUCUUUUCCCAAGCUUCAUGCAUUGCUACAAGUUUGAAAGGUAUUGGUAUUUUACUUUCUUUCCCAUUUUUGGUUUUGUAUGUUUUUUUCAAGUGUACCAAUAAUAUAUACGCAUGAGCCUAGCAUCUCAAACGAUCAAAAACUUUCCAAGCUUCUGUAAAAACAUCUUUAAAUUCUUUAAGCAAAGUUUCUAGGGUAAAGUAUUUCUUUUCGUCAUCCUUAACUUCAUGGAGUUCAAGAAACAUUUCCUGCAUUAUAGGAUUAAGGAUAACAAAUCUAGCCGCCAACAUUUAAACUGAAUAAGUUGUAGCAGUUUCAUAAUUAGGAGCAAGUUCUACCAGUGAUUUAUCCUCAAUAUCUUUAUGCUUACUAACAUGAUUCAAGAAUUUUUCAAUGUUAUCUCUUCCAAUUAUAGAACCACUACCUAGUGAUAGGUCCUUCAGAUCGUACUUAGGGAACAACAUAAUGAAGUAGAAACAAGAUAAGAACUAUAAAAAAACUAUUUUUUUGUGUUUUUUAUAUAAUAAAUCAAACAAAACAAAGUAAAAUAAACUAAGCAAAACAAUAAUAAAGUAAAGAGAUUGGAGUUGAGAGACUCCCCUUGCAGAAAUCCUCUUUCUCCCCGGCAACGGCGCCAGGAAAUCUUAUUGGCAGUUGUUGGGGAACCCCAAGAGGAAGGUGUGAUAAGCACAUCAACAAGUUUUCCCUCAGUAAGAAAUCAAGGUUUAAUCAACCAGAAGGAGAAAGGCGUGAAUUCUGAAGGUGUUGCUGGCUGACUAUUGGCAGGGCUCACUACCGGCAUCAGCAACAACGUGGAACCUGCACACAACACAACCAAAAUACUUUACCCCAACUUACAGAGAGGUUGUCAAUCUCACCGGUUUACACAACACAAAGGAUUAAAUGUAUCGAGUGAAAAGAGAUAUUUGCAGUAAUUGAAGAGAACAGUGUUUGCAGAAAGUAAACAUAAUAGGAUUGCAGUGGAUAAAUUUAUCAGUGUAAAGGAAAGGACCGGGGUCCACAGUUCACUAAAGGUGUCUCUCCAUAAAGAUAAAUAACAUGUUGGGUGAACAAAUUACAUCUGGCAAUUGACAGAAUAUCGACCAUACAUGAAAAGAUGAUUACUAUGAGACUCGUUUUUGCAUUAUAGCAUAAUACAUAGGCCGUAAUCCAACAGCGUCUAUGACUAAUAAUCCACCUUCCGGUUGUCGUCCGAACCCCUUCCAGUAUUAAGUUGCAAGCAACAAAUUAUCGCAUUAAGCAAUGUGUGUAAAGUAAACAAUAGAAUUACCCUUUGAUAAAACAUUGUGUUUUCUCCCUAUUAGCAACAUCACAUCUACAAUCUUAGAAGUUAUUGUCACUCUUUUAGAAAACUAGAUGCAUGAACCUACUAUUGAGCAUAAAUACCCCCUCUUGGAGUCACAAUCAUCUACUUGGCUAGAGUAUCUACUAACAAUGGAGAGCAUGCAAGAUCACAAAUAACAUAUGACAUGAAUAUAUAAUCGAUCACAACAUAGUACACAAUAUUCAUUGGUUCCUGCAAACACAACAUGUAGCAUUACAUAAGGAUGAUCUUGAUCAUGUAGGGUGAUGUCUACGCACGCUUCUAUUCCUGUAGACAGUGUUGGGCCUCCAAGAGCAGAGGUUUGUAGAACAGCAGCAAGUUUCCCUUAAGUGAAUCACCCAAGGUUUAUCGAACUCAGGGAGGUAGAGGUCAAAGAUAUCCCUCUCAAGCAACCCUGCAAUCACGAUGCAAGAAGUCUCUUGUGUCCCCAACACACCUAAUACACUUGUCAGAUGUAUAGGUGCACUAGUUCGGUGAAGAGAUAGUAAAAUACAGGUGGUAUAGAUGGUGGUAAUAUUGCAGGAAGUAAAGAUGUAGUAAAACAGUAAACAAACGGUGCCAGAAAAUAGCUUGCUGGCGUGGGAGGCAAUUCUCUGUGGUGUAAACAAGUCCUAGGGAUCAUACUUUCACUAGUGGACUGAUACGUCCAAAACGUAUCUACUUUCCCGAACACUUUUGCUA